rnacentral:rRNA from 1 species
CGCAGGCUGCAACCCGCCCUGCGUGAAGUCGGAAUCGCUAGUAAUCGCGGAUCAGCAUGCCGCGGUGAAUACGUUCCCGGGCCUUGUACACACCGCCCGUCACACCAUGAGAGUCGGGAACACCCGAAGUCCGUAGCCUAACCGCAAGGGGGGCGCGGCCGAAGGUGGGUUCGAUAAUUGGGGUGAAGUCGUAACAAGGUACC